rnacentral:rRNA from 1 species
AAUCAACGCUGGCGGCGUGCCUAACACAUGCAAGUCGAACGAGAAAGUGGAGCAAUCCAUGAGUACAGUGGCGCACGGGUGAGUAACACGUGACUACCUACCCUCGAGUGGGGAAUAACCUCGGGAAACCGGGGCUAACACCGCAUAAUAUCUACGGAUCAAAUGCGAAAGCAGCUUGAGGAGGGGGUCGCGGCCGAUUAGCUAGUUGGUGAGGUAAUGGCUCACCAAGGCAAUGAUCGGUAGCCGGCCUGAGAGGGCGCACGGCCACACUGGAACUGAAACACGGUCCAGACUCCUACGGGAGGCAGCAGUGGGGAAUUUUGCGCAAUGGGGGAAACCCUGACGCAGCAACGCCGCGUGGAGGAUGAAGCCCCUUGGGUGUAAACUCCUUUCGAUCGGGACGAUUAUGACGGUACCGGAAGAAGAAGCACCGGCUAACUCUGUGCCAGCAGCCGCCGC